CAAUAGCGUAUAUUAAAGUUGUUGCGGUUAAAAGCUCGUAGUUGGAUUUCUGCUGAGGACGACCGGUCCGCCCUCCGGGUGAGCAUCUGGUUCGGCCUUGGCAUCUUCUUGGUGAACGUAUCUGCACUUGACUGUGUGGUGCGGUACCCAAGACUUUUACUUUGAGGAAAUUAGAGUGUUUCAAGCAGGCAUACGCCUUGAAUACAUUAGCAUGGAAUAAUAAGAUAGGACCUCGGUUCUAUUUUGUUGGUUUCUAGAGCUGAGGUAAUGAUUAAUAGGGGAUAGGUUGGGGCAUUCGUUAAUUUAACUGUCAAGGAGGUAGUAAAUUUCGUUGGUAUUUUAGUUAAAGACGGACUACUGACGAAAGCUAUUUCGACCGAAAGGAUUUGUUUUCUAUUGAUACAAAGAAACGUAAAGGUUAGGGGAUACGAAGACGAUCAGACUACCGU
rnacentral:rRNA from 1 species